rnacentral:tRNA from 1 species
GCCGGCUUAGCUCAGUGGUAGAGCAGCGGUUUUGUAAACCGUUGGUCGGGGGUUCAAGUCCCUCAGCCGGCAUCA